rnacentral:rRNA from 1 species
UACAGAGGGUGCGAGCGUUAAUCGGAAUUACUGGGCGUAAAGCGCACGUAGGCGGCUUGGUAUGUCGGGUGUGAAAUCCCCGGGCUCAACCUGGGAACUGCAUCCGAAACUGCCUUGCUCGAGUAUGGGAGAGGGAAGUGGAAUUUCCGGUGUAGCGGUGAAAUGCGUAGAUACCGGAAGGAACAUCAGUGGCGAAGGCGACUUCCUGGACCAAUACUGACGCUCAGGUGCGAAAGCGUGGGGAGCAAACAGG